rnacentral:lncRNA from 1 species
AGAACAAGCAAGGAGAAGCUUUGGGUCUUCCUAUCCACCAUUUCCAAGACGUGAUUUUAACUUCAUCCACCAGUUUUCAAUCCAAAACAAUAUGAAAAUGUUGUUAGAUUCUUGAUUCUAUGCUUAAAACUUGAAUUUUUGGUGUUAAAAUGCCCUAAAAUUGUGUAUUCCAGAUAUGGGUUUCGUGGGUUUUAACCGGGUCGUUUUGACCCGUCUAGAGGUUGAAGGAGAGUUAAAAAAAA